CACUAUCGUUAACUGAAUACAUAGGUUAACGAGGCGAACCGGGGGAACUGAAACAUCUAAGUACCCCGAGGAAAAGAAAUCAACCGAGAUUCCCCCAGUAGCGGCGAGCGAACGGGGAGCAGCCCGGAGUCUGAAUCAGCUUGUGUGUUAGUGGAACGGUCUGGAAAGUCCGACGGUACAGGGUGAUAGUCCCGUACACGAAAAUGCACAUGCUGUGAACUCGAAGAGUAGGGCGGGACACGUGGUAUCCUGUCUGAAUAUGGGGGGACCAUCCUCCAAGGCUAAAUACUCCUGACUGACCGAUAGUGAACCAGUACCGUGAGGGAAAGGCGAAAAGAACCCCGGCGAGGGGAGUGAAAAAGAACCUGAAACCGUGUACGUACAAGCAGUGGGAGCCUCUUUAUGGGGUGACUGCGUACCUUUUGUAUAAUGGGUCAGCGACUUAUAUUCUGUAGCAAGGUUAACCGUAUAGGGGAGCCGAAGGGAAACCGAGUCUUAACUGGGCGUUAAGUUGCAGGGUAUAGACCCGAAACCCGGUGAUCUAGCCAUGGGCAGGUUGAAGGUUGGGUAACACUAACUGGAGGACCGAACCGACUAAUGUUGAAAAAUUAGCGGAUGACCUGUGGCUGGGGGUGAAAGGCCAAUCAAACCGGGAGAUAGCUGGUUCUCCCCGAAAGCUAUUUAGGUAGCGCCUCGUGAACUCAUCUUCGGGGGUAGAGCACUGUUUCGGCUAGGGGGCCAUCCCGGCUUACCAACCCGAUGCAAACUACGAAUACCGAAGAAUGUUAUCACGGGAGACACACGGCGGGUGCUAACGUCCGUCGUGAAGAGGGAAACAACCCAGACCGCCAGCUAAGGUCCCAAAGUCAUGGUUAAGUGGGAAACGAUGUGGGAAGGCACAGACAGCCAGGAUGUUGGCUUAGAAGCAGCCAUCAUUUAAAGAAAGCGUAAUAGCUCACUGGUCGAGUCGGCCUGCGCGGAAGAUGUAACGGGGCUAAACCAUGCACCGAAGCUGCGGCAGCGAC
rnacentral:rRNA from 1 species